AGUCACUGACAUUAGAUACCCGGGUAGUCCAGGGUGUAAACGCUGCAGACUUGGUGUUGGAAGCCCUUUGGGGGCAUUCAGUGCCGGAGAGAAGUUGUUAAGUCUGCUACUUGGGAGUACGUCCGCAAGGAUGAAACUUAAAGGAAUUGGCGGGGAGCACCGCAACGGGAGGAGCGUGCGGUUUAAUUGGAUUCAACACCGUAAACUCACCAGGGAAGACUGUUACAUGAAGGCCGAGAUGAAGACUCUGCCAGAUUUUCAG
rnacentral:rRNA from 1 species